GACGAACGCUGGCGGCGUGCUUAACACAUGCAAGUCGAGCGGAAAGGCCCUUCGGGGUACUCGAGCGGGGAACGGGCGAGUAACAAGUGAGUAACCUGCCCUAGGCUUUGGGAUAACACCGGGAAACAGGGGCUAAUACUGGAGAUGACCUGGUGCCGGAGGGAGUUGGGGGGCAAGUUUUUUCGGCCUGGGAUGGGCUCGCGGCCUAGCAUCUUGUUGGUGGGGUGUGGGCCUACCAAGACGAUGACGGGUGUCCGGCAUGGGAGGGCGACCAGCCACAAUGGUACUGAGACACGGACCAGACUCCAACGGGAGGCAGCAGUGGGGAAUAUUGCACAAUGGGCGGAAGCCUGAUGCAGCGACGCCGUGUGAGGGAUGCAGGCCUUCGGGUUGUAAACCUCUUUCAGCAGGGACGAAGCGUGAGUGACGGUACCUGCAGAAGAAGCACCGGCUAACUACGUG
rnacentral:rRNA from 1 species